rnacentral:lncRNA from 1 species
AGUGAAUCAAUUUCAGGACAUAUGGCCUUACAGACAUUAGUAAAACUCAAUGUUACUUGCACUUUUUUAAUUGAGGUCAUACAGAAUUUCAGUUAAAAUUCAGAUUAGCUCAGUUUUUGUUAUAAUGUUACAUUAAAAAUUGUUCUGCAAUAUCAACAGCUAUUUCACCAGUAAAUUCUAAGUGAUUUAGAAUUAUCAAUUGUAUAAAGUAAUUUCUGUGUUUUUAAGUAUUAUUUUGAUAUUUUAUUAUUGACAGAGAAAAAAGGUUCAAAAUCAAAUAUUUAAAACCCUUAUGUAUUCUUAUUUUACACCACUUACUGCCACAAUCUUUUGUGGAAUAUUAAUAUGAAAUAAAACAAAAACUAAAAACCUUUUCACUAGUUCCUCUAUAACUGUAUCAUAAUCUAAAGUGGUGUCGUUUUGUUGGAAGAUUGAAGCAAUUGUUUUGCAGCAUUUCCAACAGUUCAUAUUUGUUUCAUUAGAUGUGUAUAAGCUGAAAAGUGAUUUUUUACAAAGUUUUCUUCAAAUAAAAGUGGAAAUAAUUUCUUCUCAUAUAGUAUGACAAAUUAACUUUUCAGAACAUCUCUUGACUUGCCUAUAGGGGUAUGGAUGUGUAUUGGUCAAAAAUUUCUGAAAAUUGGAUACAUUUUUGAACUUGUACUGUACAUUUCACACACAAAAUAUAAGACAAAAAAUAUAGGGGAUUUUUUUUCAAUGCGACAAAACAUUAUAAACAAGAAUGUGUCCAUAGUACACGGAUGCCCCACUCGCACAAUCAUUUUCUAUGUUCAGUGGACCGUGAAAUUGGGGUCAAAACUUAAAUAUGGAAUUAAAAUUAGAAAGAUCAUAUCAUACAUGUGUACAAAAGAUGAAUGAUAAAAAUACACUAUAAUUAAAGGGAACUAUAUUCGUGGACAACGAAAAGCGGGAUCAUUAAUUGUUGUCUUUGGCCUAUUAGGGGUCAAAAACUUGACCAAUUCCAAUAAAAGUGGGCAUGAUUUAAGCUUAGUGUAUCAUGAGACAGUUAACAAAGUUUCAAAACCAUAUGAUAUAUAUAAGAAAAUGUGGCAUUUUUUAUAUCUCAACUUUGGUUGCUGAAUUGUGACGUUGAAAUAGAAUAAUUUAACUUUCAAAUUUUGGCUUCAAAAAUCCCCAAAAACACCAAAUUGCACUUUUUAAUGUCUCAAUGUAUAAGAUAUUAUCUAUUCAAAGUAAUAGAUAGCAUACUUAAUGUAUGAGACUUAUAAAAAUUUGACAAAAG